AGGAUGUCAAGGGUAGCAGGCCAGACUUUUUUUAAAAUAAAAUAAGAAAAAUAAAAGCCCAGCCGUCCAGGGCGUCUUCGGCCGGCCCCUCCCUCCCGCCCCACCUCCGGCUCCCGGGCCGCGGCUCCGGCGCCGCGUUUUCUCGGCCGCCACGCGCCCGCGGGUUAAAGCUCCCCCGCCAGGAGUAAACAGCGCCCCAGCGGGCAGCCGGCAGCCCCGCCCCUCGGCCCGUUUCCUGCGCCAGCCCUGACAACAGGCCCCGCCCUUCGCGACAGGCCCCGCCCCGCGCAGGCCGUCUGGCCCCUCCCGCCGUCCGCCUACCAGAGACGAGGUCCCGGCCCGUGCCGAGUGCCCAGUCAGCCCCGAGCCUUCUCCCCCGGGACUCCGCGGCCCGAGCCCGCCCCAAAGGAGGAAUCCGACAUCUCAAGCCCCCUGAUCCACAGGCUCCUGCUGCGCAAACACCCCGCCCUCCUGCCUGCUGCACACACAGGCCUGCAUUGUAGGGCCUCCCACGCCUCCGUUCCCGGAACGGAGUUCACCUAGCCCUGUGCCUGCCCUGCUGUCUUCUCUAAAGUUGGGGAAACGUGAGGUUCAGAAAGCUGGAAGGAUUUCAGUUGCACCAUACAUCGACCACACAACAGUCCCACUCCUGGGUAUUACCCAAGAGAGGCUAAAACAGAUGCCCACACGAAGACUUCUACAUGAAUCUCGAUUCAGAACAGCCAACCAGAUAAUCAUCACAAUGGCCAUGAACAGGACAGUGAGUAAACAAAUUGCAAUAACCCGUGCAAUGGGACGCUACUCAAUAAAAAGACACAAACUUCUGGUGCAGAACUACCUGAAAGGAACCUCAAAAGUGUUCGCUUUGGUCAACGCAGCACAGUGGCUCAUGACUCUAAUCCCAGCAGUUUGAGAGGCCAAGCUACUCAGGAGGCUGAGGGAGGAGAAUCGCUUGAACCCAGAAGGCGGAGGUUCUGGUGAGGGGCAGAUGGAGGUAGAAAGCAGGACUCAACUCCAGAGGUGGAGCAUGGACACGGGACCAAAAUGAGCACUAGCUAAAACAGGGACAGAGAGGAAGCAGCUUUCCCACCAGUGAGGUGGGAAAGACACGCCCACCAGGGCGCCCUGUCAGUGUAUCGUUGCCAUGGCAACACCCCAGCAUGGCCACCCCUUUUCAUGGCAAUGACCCAGCGACCCAAAAGUUACCACCCUUCUCCUAGACAUUUCUGCAUAAACUAAUCUAUUACAUGUAAUCGAAAGUAGGUGUAAAUCGGACUGAAGCCCAAGCUGCCCCUCUCAGCACGCUGCCUAUGGGGUAGCCCAGCUCUGCAGGAGCAUCCAGGGGCUGUCAUGCUGCUGGAGUUGUAACACUGCCGCUUCACUAAAGCUGUUAUCUUCUCCCCUAACAUCAACUUACCCUUGAAUUCUUUCCUGAGCAAAGCCAAGAACCCUCACAGGCUGAGCCCUUUUUUGGGGGUUCACCUGCCCUGCCUCAAGAUGACUACCUGGAAACUAACAGACUCCAGCUACAGUUAACCGGUUAACACCUUCCAGAUCUUCCUUCCUAGGAAAAUACCCAUUAUCCUGUCUGUCUCAAGGUAGCUCCAGGAAAUAGAUCAGAGCUGGCAGAAAAGAAAGCUGGAGAACCUUCACUAAACCUUCACUGCAGGAGAGACAGUCAUUUCCAGGAGGCACUGAGAGAGGGUGAGCCAUGGAGCCAGACUGACUGGGUUCCACACCGGCUUCUCCACCUACUUGCUCUUCUCUGGUUCCACAUCUGUCAACCUGGGAUGGUGAUAAUAACUGUGGCCUAGAGACAUUGGUUCAGAUUGAAUGAGCAAAUGUAGGAAAAGUGCAGGCAGCGUUUGGCAUCUAAUAAAGCCAUCAAAGCAAUCACUCUGUGCUGUGUUUUUAGCGUUCCUCCCACUCUUCCUGAUCCCACCCUCAGUGCAGCUUUAGGACCGACUUCAAGAUUACCAGCAGAGUGAAUGGAGGGUCAGAGGGCAAGGUAGCUCUGUAGACACAGGUGUGCAUAAUGGGGUGCUGGAAUGGAAAUUGGGGUUCAGAGAAGCAAGUGAGUCAUGGGUCCAGGCAGUGGAGUGGGGAGACAACAUAACUCCCAGAUGCAAUGUGAGACAGAGACUCUGCUGUCUCCUGGUCUCUGAGCUCCUGAUCCACAAGUGAACGUGGCAUCUAAUCCUCCUUGCACUCUGUGUUUCCUGAGAGCAGACACCAUGUUUUAUUUAUCUUCAUUCAUCCUGUAGCAGCUAGCUCAGGGCGGGGUGUAAGUGAUCAACAAAUCUUUGAAUAUUUGUUAAAUAAGAUUUGAUUUUAUUGAUUUUUGAGAUAGAGCUUUGCUCUGCCAACCAGGCUGGAGUGCAGUAGUGCAAUCAUAGCUCACUGCAGCCUCGACCUCCCAGACUCAAGCCAUCCUCCUACCUCAGCCUCCUGAGUAGCUAGGACUACAGGCAUGAGCCACUGUGUUCAGCUAAUUUUAAUUUUUUUCUGUAGACACCUGUCUACAAAAAGGGUCUCUCUGUGUUGCACAGGCUGAGA